AAUUUAUUGGGAAAAACAGCAUCCUGGUUGCUGGAUUUGAUCACAAAGGCCAUGCUGCUGGUGGCACCUGGGGUCUGCUCUAACGCCAAAGCAGCCAACAUCCCUUUUAGUUUUACGCACAAGCAGGAAAGACUGAGGUUAUAAAAUCUGGUGUUUGAAAGCACAGUAGUAAUACAUGCCAGAGAAGAAAAGCAAAUAGCCAAAAUGUCCUUUUACAAACAAGGUUUGUUUUGGUUGUGACAAACAUUUUCAUCUGAUUAAAUCACAAGCAAACUGCUGGGACACUUUUGCAGAGGGAGAACACUCUCCCUGGUGGCCAGAACAGACAUGUGCUGAAUACACACACACACACACACACACACACACACACACACACACACACACACACACACAGCAGUGAAGCGGGUCUGCAGUUGUCUAUCUUCCUCUCCCUCUCUGUCUUCCCUUUCUCUCUCCAUUUCUCUCUGUCUUAUCCAACAACAACGAUAUCAAUAAUAACUACAACAAUAAAGCAACAAGGAAAACAAAAGGGAAUAAAUAAAAAUAUAUAUAAAAAAUUU